GAUGAACGCUGGCGGCGUGCCUAAUACAUGCAAGUCGAACGCAGUGGGGACGGGUGAGUAACACGUGGGUAACCUCCCAUCAGAGGGGAUAAAACUUGGAAACAGGUGCUAACCCGAUAUGGAUGGAUGGACUCGCGGUGGAUUAGCCAGUUGGGGGGGUAACGGCUCACCAAGGCCAAGAUGCAUAGCCGACUUGAGAGGGUGAUCGGCCACACUGGGACUGAGACACGGCCCAGACUCCUACGGGAGGCAGCAGUAGGGAAUCUUCGGCAAUGGGCGAAAGGCUGACCGAGCAACGCCGCGUGAGUGAAGAAGGUUUUCGGAUCGUAAAACUCUGUUGUUAGAGAAGCGGUAUCUGAACAGAAAGCCACGGCUAACUACGUGCCAGCAGCCGCGGUAAUAC
rnacentral:rRNA from 1 species